rnacentral:rRNA from 1 species
UACGUAGGGUGCGAGCGUUGUCCGGAAUUAUUGGGCGUAAAGGGCUCGUAGGCGGUUUGUCGCGUCGGGAGUGAAAUCAUCCAGCUUAACUGGGUGCUUGCUUUCGAUACGGGCAGACUUGAGGUAUGCAGGGGAGAAUGGAAUUCCUGGUGUAGCGGUGAAAUGCGCAGAUAUCAGGAGGAACACCGGUGGCGAAGGCGGUUCUCUGGGCAUUACCUGACGCUGAGGAGCGAAAGUGUGGGGAGCGAACAGG